rnacentral:rRNA from 1 species
AUUGAACGCUGGCGGCAGGCCUAACACAUGCAAGUCGAGCGAGCGGCGGACGGGUGAGUAAUGUAUGGGGAUCUUCCCGAUAGAGCUGGAUAACUACUGGAAACGGUAGCUAAUACCGCAUAUUAUCGUCUGAUCUCAUAUGGGAUUAGCUAGUUGGUCAGGUAAUGGCUCACCAAGGCUACGAUCCCUAGCUUGUCUGAGAGGAUGAUCAGCAACACUGGAACUGAGACACGGCCCAGACUCCUACGGGAGGCAGCAGUGGGGAAUAUUGCACAAUGGGCGCAAGCCUGAUGCAGCCACGCCGCGUGAAUGAAGAAGGCCUUCGGGUUGUAAAGUACUGUCAGUAGGGAGGCGUUACCGAAAGAAGAAGCAACGGCUAACUCCGUGCCAGCAGCCGCGGUAAUAC